CCUAUAUCUAGAAUAUAUAAGAAAGCUCAGGAUUGAGAUGCAGCCCAUGCAACAAAAAAAACAUCUCUAUCUUAAACUGACAAAUAUGGAUGGGGAUUUUUGUAUUACAUUAGAUUGACGCACGUGUCCACCAAUAGACUCUGUCUCCUCCCCUUCAUCUACACUGAUUGAAAUGACAUCAAUAAGGGAGCAUAGCUUUCACCUGGAUUCACCUGGUCAGUCUAUGUCAUGGAAAGAGUUCCUAAAGUUUUGUACACGCCGUGUAUAUCAGUUGUUUAGCUGGAAUGGAAUGUUCAUAUCCUGUACACUCACAGUUUAUUAGGUACACCACCCUAUUCACGGAAAUGUAUCACUCCUACAGACAAUGAGUCACGUGGCCGUGGCUCACGAUAUAAAGCAGGCAGACAGGCAUUGAAGCAUUCCGUUACUGUUCGAUUGAACGUUAGACUGGGCAAAACCAGUGAACUAAGCGACUUUAUGCGUGGUAUGAUCGUCAGUGCCAGGUACGCCGGAUCCAGCAUCUCAGAAACGGCCUCCCCACUGGGCUUUUCACGCACGACAGUGUCUAGGGUGUGACAGAGAAUGCUGUGACAAAAAAACAUCCAGUCAGCGGCAGUCCUGUGGGAGAAAACAGCUCGUUGAUGAGGGUUUGAAGGAAAAUGGCAAGAAUUGUGUACACUAACAGGAAAAUAACAGCGCAGUACAACAGUGGUAUGCAGAUCGGCAUCUCAUAACGCACGACUCGUCAGUCCUUGUCAGCAGACGGCCACACCGGGUUCCACUACUAUCAGCUAAAAACAAGAAGAAGCGGCUCCAGUGGACACGCGAUAACCAACACUGGAAAAUUGAGGAGUGGAAAAACAUUGCCUGGUCUGACGAAUCUUGGUUCCUGAUGAGUCAUGCUGAUGGCAGAGUCAGGAUUUGGCAUAAGCAGCAUGAGUCUAUCCUGUCUGCAGUCAACGGUACAGGCUGGUGGCGGUCGUGUCAUGAGCCGUUACAGAAUUCCCACCAAAAACGGACCAAGCAGCGGAGGAAGGAGCAGCACAAGGAGGACUACAGGAAACAGCGCGCUCGGGAAGUCAGGGCAUCCUGGUCGCUGGAGGUGUUGGAGUCCAGGAUUGACUGGACAUGGGAUCAAUUAUUUGACCACUGCAACAACCUGCCGAGGGAGAGCGACAGACAAGGGAGGCAGCCCCAAUAAUUUUUUUUGGGGGGGCACACGGGGAGAUUGGCAGAGUCAGGCGGUAGACCUGAGCCAACUCCCCGUGCUUACCGGAAGCAGCGUGGUACUGGUAAGGCACCGUGUUAUGCUGUGGAGCGCACGGAGUCUCCAGUGCGCGUGCAUAGCCCGGUGCGCUACAUUGCAGCCCCCCGCAAGUGCCAUGCGAGAGUGGGCAUCGAGCCAGGGCGGAUGGUGCCAGCUCAGCGCGUCUGGUCUCCAGUGCGACUCCUCGGUCCAGG
rnacentral:lncRNA from 1 species